CAUCAAAAAUACUUUGGUUUAUUUCCCUUCAUUUGCUAGUUUUGUACAUAUUAAGUGUUUAAAGCAGCUGCUGACUACUGGAUUUUCUCAUGACCUACUUUUAUAGCCUAAAUUUCAAGAACUGCACUUAUCAGGAUAUACAUAUCUUCAUUUUAAGGUAAAGUGAAGGUAAUAAAAGAAAUUUGAAAUAGGACAGGUUAUUCUUGAGGUCAUGUAAGUUGCCCUUGAACUUGAUUAUUAGAAUAAUCAGAAAUAAGUCCUACUGUAUAGCACAGGGAACCAUAUCCAAUCACUUAUGAUAGAACAUGAUGGAAGAUAAUAGGAGAAAAAGAAUGUGUGUGUAUACGUGUGUGUGUGUGUGCGCGCGUGUGUGUGUGACUGGGCCAUGUUGCUGUACAGCAGAAAUUGAUACAACCUUGUAAAUCAACUCUACUUAUCAAAAAAUUAAAGAAAUAAAAAUCUAUGGAAAAAAAGAAAUAAGGAGCUUUUCAAAGUAAUCAGCAAGUGACACACACACACAAAUAUAAUUGAAGGCAGUUUAGACUAAUUUGCUGGGUUCUCUACUUACAAACAGGUUAAUUCUAGUAUGCUCUUCAUGAGCGCCUUUGUUCUUAAGUCUAAGCCAUCAGUAUGGUUAUAUUUAUCUAAAGGUUUUUAAUGGGAGGACUGUCAUUGUGGUGACACAGGAUUUAACUCUUCAAGUUUCUUUUCAACUCUUAAAUUUGUCUAAAUGUAUUUCCCUUUUGACUUUGUUCUUUUCAGCAUAUGUUUUAUAAACAAGCUUUAAACAUCCUGCUGUAUAUAAGUCCAAGGCAGCAGCUGAAGCCAGUGUCAUCUGGUAGUUAAAUCACAUUUGCUUUGAUGCGAAGCCUUGUUCCUAUGAUGGAAGUUUCUACUGUAGGUGAAAUGGAGGCUUAGUAAACAAGGAAUUAAUGAGAAUUUUUAAAAACAUCACUCCUUUAGCAAAUAUUUACUGCAUACCUGUUAUGUGCCAGGCAUUGAGAGCAUCACCGUUCCCUCUUCUCAUGGAGCUUACGUUCUAGUGUGGGGAGAUGGACAAAGAAUAUGCCCCGAGGGAAUACUGAAGCGAGGAAAGGGGAAGGCAGAGCUCAGGGGUGGGGUGUUGCAUUUCGAAGGGUAGGAUGGUCAGAGGGGCCUCCCUGGGAGUGUACUUUUGCUGGUGCCCUGAGCAUGUGUGUGAUUUGCCAGUUGGUUAAUUGCACUUGGAAUCUAGGCCUGGCAGGGGGGAGGGAAAGAGAAUUCAGACCCACUUGAGAGCAGGUGCUAACAAGUAAAUUAGAGCAGUGGUACUUCAAUAAAGUUCAGUUGGAAGAGGAAUGCCUGUAUAUUAAGAAAGGUGUAUUUUCAGUAAAAGUGAAGUCUAAGUAUAAACUAUAUAAAAUAAACAUGAGAUUAGCGUAGUGAUUUCAAGAUUUAAAUUUUUAAAGUGUUUAGGACCAAAUUUCUUAAGCUAUGUUUACGGAAGUGCUAAUAUUUUAAUUUCCAAUUCAUCAUAGACCAAUAAUGUUCUAAGGUAUAUUAAGGAAAAAUUACUAAAAAAGUGAAAUGAAUCUCUUUGUUUUCCUGGCUCUUUACUUUCUCUGCCUUUUUUGCUGCUUUCUUUGUCUCUCUCUGGGGUGGACGAUUGUUUUUCUCUUUUUACCAUUUGAUCGUAAAGCCUUCUACAUCACUCCCUGCCCCCGCCAGCUCUUAUGUUUGUGUGGCCCACGAUAAUGUUGUGGGGUAUCUGUGUGUGUAGUGAAUGAUGUUUAAUGAAUGGAACAUACUGUUUGUCAUUUAGACAAUGGUGUAGUUUCUCUUUAACCCCGCCAUGCCUUUUGGGUUAUUUUGGGGGGAUGGGGUUUGGCCCUCUAAGGGACACCAGCACAGUUGGGAUAUGAGAGUUCCUUGGCUCUUUUUGGGACUGGUUCCUUGUUUAAAGUGUGCCCUUUUAAACAAGAAAGGAGGGAGAGAUUACGAGGAAGAAUCAAUCGGUCAAUGGGCUUUUGGUAGACACACUGACUUUGCAAAGAAACGCGUAGUAAGAUGAAUCUCCUUGAGAGCAGGUAACCGCACUUCGUGCCUGUAGUGGCGGUCUCUGCAGCAUCUUUCACUAGUAGACACAAAUGCUUGUUUCUAGAGUGCAGUCAUUUUCUCUCAGUGAGUCUCUCCUAUGGCAUUCAGCCACAGCCCUUUCAUCCCUAGUAUCAAAAUGAAAGGAAACAAUAAUGUUUUCCUAAACAAAUCAUAAUUAGAAACAUCUACGAUGAAGUUGUAGUAAAUUGAAUUUAAACAUUUUUGUUUAUUUUUCAAGCUGAGAGUGUUUUGACAUAGCAUGAAAAGUUUAUCUCUCUUAAGCAAGAGGCAGGCAUUUAGCCCUCGAGAGUGCUGUUGCUGUUUUCGGUUUGUUUUUCUUCCUUCUUUUUAGCUUGCCGGCUGGCUGUUAGAGUGGAGGUGACAGACGGUCCUGAUAUACUGUUGGGCACAGAAUCUGCUGGCUUUUAUUUGGUAUAAUAAAUGAUGGAAAACAGGGUGAUACUUUGUUACAGUUCUAAUAAAGCCAGUGUAGAGGUGAUUCUUAUAGUGCGUUAAUUUUAAGCUCCAGAAAUAAGUGCCUUAGUAUACUGGACACUGUAAAUGUCCCUGGCAUAUAUGAAGAAAAUCCUAAGCAUUUGGCAGAUGUGAUAGAAAUCACAUAUUGCACCUUUGCUAGAGCACAUAGAGGACGCAGCUCAUAUUUUCAGGGAUAAUCUCUGUUGAUAACGAUUUUCCUCCCAUUGGCCUGUUCCCUCUCCACCCCUCACAUUUGUGGAAUAAGGGAGUCAAUUAAUUUCUCAGUGGCAAUCACCAUAGAGGCUGCCUCCAAGUAAUAAUUCUUACCUGAGUUUGUUUUCUAAAUUAAAAUGGCCUAUUUCUAUUACAUCCUUUGGGUGAUCCCGAUUAGAAUAAUUCUUCCACCUGCACAAAUUUUUGUACCUGCUGAGUUUUGUCAUGGGAAGCAGCUGAGCGCAGGAAUGCUUUCUUCCUUGCUGCGAUGCCUAAUUUUGGAAGGUAUACUAAUUUCAGAAUGUUUGAUGUUGGAAAUGGUUGCAUAUUCCAAAAACACUUAGUAAGGACUUGCUGAAUAAUGUUCUCUCUUGUGGUUUGGUUCAGCAUUAUUUUCUUUCUUCUUUUGCAUCUUUUGAUCUGUCUGGGCUAUUUUUCCUAUCUGCCAACAUUCCAUAAAGUAGAACUUCACAAAUCAAAGAGUAGGUGAGUUUCUGUUCAGUUCUCUAUCUCUUUCUGAGACUGAACUCUUUUUUUUUUUAAGGAAUCUGAAAAGCUAGCUUUUAGUGAGUCUUAUUUUCUCCUUACUCUUUUUAAGGGUUUUUAGGUUACUCAAUUUCAAGCAUACUUAGUAAUACAUGUUUUAAUAGCUAUUGAACCAUUUUAUUUAAUAACUUGAACAAAGAUUUGGUUUUUAGUGGGUGUGUUUAGAAAUAAUACUCUAUUUCUAACAUUCCCUUCCACAGAAAGGAGGGAGCAAGUAUUUUAUUGCCCAGGAACAUGCUAUCAAUGUCCUAGAGCCUACCUUCCUAUCUAGUUUCCAACCUGUCUACCGACACCAGCUUAGCUAACCAGCUUUUAUACCAGAUUUGUAAUUACAGGUUUAGAGACAGUAUACUGGUAAUUCUUCCUCUCUUUCUUACCUCAUCUCCCAUUAACUAGCCCUAUUCUGUGGUGGAAAUUGCAUAUUAGUUUGUCUUUUCUUAUUUCUGUACUGAAAAGAGAAAAACAAGUUAUUUCCAGGUUUCCAGAACCAUGAAGAGUCUGAGGUUCUACCCUACUUGCUACAGUUAGCCUGCCACAUUUUGAUAUACAUUGCUAGGCAACUGAUGGCACAGCAGGCUGCAUGAGCUUCAAGUUUGCCUUGGUCCCCUGAUCUCUGCAGUUCCUCAGGGGCCAUGGGAGGAGUCCCCAGGUUGGAGCUGUCCUUGGUCCCCUGUCUCUAAGUUCCACAGGGGCCAUGAGAGGAGUCCCCAGGUUGGAGCUGUCCUUGGUGCCCUGUCUCUAAGUUCCAUAGGAGCCAUGGGAGGAGUCCCCAGGUUGGAGCUGUCCACAGAAUACGUUUGUUCAGAGCUAGAAAACCCCAGCCUCAGAAGAGGACUGACAGCAAACCUGCCCGGCCUUCACCCAGAGGGAGACAUUGUUAACUUUAUUAAUCUGUUUGCUGCCUCCGAGUGCAGUGCCAUCUCUGUCUUUUAAGACUGAAUGCUGUAUUGACACCCUUGAAAAGAUAAUCUGGAAGAGUAACUGAUUUAAGAUGUACUGAAACGUGGGCGACCCAUGGAUGAUUGUCUCUUGGUGCUUGGUAGCAGCAGAAAGUCAGAACUGGUUCCUUCUGUCUGUCUGUUUUGGUGUGCUUCUCCCAAAUCAAAAUAUAGAAAAGCGACUUAAAUUUAAAUGAUCAACAUGAAUACCAGAGUAUUCAUUCCUCCAAGUGAGAACCCUUGCUUUUGUUUGAUAAGGCUUAAAGUAGUGGGCAGCUACGUUUGCUGGGUCAAGUCAGGUGCUCCAGAGUGUGCCUCCUGAGCGCCCUGUCCUUAUGCCCUCAAAGCACUGAACACAGCACUGCCCUAUUGCUUCUUUCUCCGCUAUGCAAUGUACUUUAAAAAAAGAAAGUUUUGUUGAAGCUGAUUUACAAGGUUGUAAUGAUUUCUGCUGUACAAUAAAGUGAUUCAUUUAUACAUAUACACAUAUUCAUCCUCUUUCAGGUUCUUUUCCCACAUAGAUUAUCACAGAAUAUUGGAUACAGGGCUCUGUGCCAUACAGCAGGUCCCCGUUAGCCAAUCCAUAUACCAGAUCCCACAGUGUGCAUAUACCAAUCCCAAACCCCAGUCCCUUCCUCCCACUAGGGAAUAUAUAUUAUUCAUUUCUGUGUCCUUAUAUCUGUCAAGUUGCCUGUCAUUAUAGUAGGUUUUUAGUAACUUUUUGUUGAAUGAGAUAAAUGAAUGAAUAAACAAAUGAGUAGGGCCUCUACUUCACAUACUAUCGAUCUUUUUUGCCUGUUUAAUCAGAUUCCUUACCCCAAUUUGAGACUGUACCGUUUGAUAGAAAAAUAUUCUGGGAAUGUAACGGGUAGAAAAUACUGGUUGACCGAAUGAGUUAAUCUUAGGUAGGACCCUUGUAUUUAUUGGAUUUGAGAAGCUGGAUUAGACACAGAGUAAAUAAAUACCUCGUGUGAAAUAAUUUCCUAAGCUUGACUAAUUCAUCCAUCAUCCUUUCCUCUGUAUGUUGAUUAUUUUGAUCUCUAGGACCUGUUUUCUUUUUUCUUUUCUUUUUUUUUUGUGUGUGUGUGUGUGUAAUGAUUUUUAUUUUUUUCCAUUAUAGCGGGUUUACAGGACCUGUUUUCUUGAUGUAGUCCUCUGGGUUCACGAGAAAACCUCACCUUCACUCACCUUCUAAAGAUAGUUGAGAAGAUCCUUUGGAAAAGAUACUUAUGUUGAACUAUCAGUCAGUUUAUUUUAGAGUAAGUUUACUUACAGAGAUCAGUUUGAUCCUCAUGCUACCCUAUCAGUGGUUUGUUUUAGGUCUAAAUAUGUUUUGAGUAAAGACAGAGGGUGUGUGUGUACCAGGGAGACUUUGCAAGACUCUUUCCCACAGUUGUAUACUUCUUCAGCUGGGAUAUUAACUUUGGCAGAGGCAGGGGCAAAUGAAGGCAGGCUUCUUGUUUCUCCAGGCACAAAUGCUCCUCCAGGGGCAGCACCACUGGAUUCCUGUUGGCUCACAUUUAGGAAGCCUGGAGAAGCAAUCUAAGAACUACUAGUCAGGAGUUCCCAAUGUGGCUCAGAGGGAUAAGGACCUAACAUAGUGUCUGCAAGGAUGCGGGUUAAAUCCCUGGUCUCUCUUAGUGGGUUAAGGAUCUGGUGUUGCCACAAGCUGUUGAUGUAGGUUGCAGAUGCGGCUUGGAUCUGAUGUUGCUGUGUCUUUGGUGUAGGUCAGCAGCUGCAGCUCCGAUUUCACCCCUGGCCUGGAAACUUCCAUAUG
rnacentral:lncRNA from 1 species